CUGACUGCUAUUGGAGUGGGACUAAGUCACGCUAGCCAAAGGUGCGGAAUGGAGCACCUGGCGUACGGCUCAGUAACACGUAGUCAACCUACCCUAAGGACGAGGACAACCACGGGAAACUGUGGCUAAUACUCGAUAAGAAAUUUGGCCUGGAACGGUAUCUUUCAAAAAACCGGCUCGCCGUGAGACACGGGCCUUAGGAUGGGGCUGCGGCCGAUUAUGCUAGAUGGCGGUGUAAAGGACCACCAUGGCUACGAUCGGUAUGGGCGAUGGAAGUCGGAGCCCAGAGUCGGCUACUGAGACAAGGAGCCGAGCUUUACGAAGCUUAGCGGUCGCGAAAACUCGCCAAUGCACGAAAGUGUGAGUGGGCUACUCCAAGUGACAUUCUUACGGAUGUCUGUCGCACAGUCUUACCAGCUGUGAAAGGAAGGAGAGGGCAAGGCUGGUGCCAGCCGCCGCGGUAAAACCAGCUCUUCGAGUGGUCAGGACGAAUAUUGGGUCUAAAGCGCUCGUAGCCGGACAAGUAGGUUUUUGGUUAAACCCGACAGCAUAACUGUUGGCCUGCUGGAAAUACCGCUAGUCUUGGAAGCGGGAGAGGACAGAGGUAGUCAUGGGGCAGGGGUGAAAUCCAGUGAUCCCAUGGCGACCACCGAUGGCGAAGGCAUCUGUCUGGAACGUAUUCGACGGUGAGGGGCGAAAGCUAGGGGAGCGACCCGGAUUAGGUACCCGGUUAGUCCUAGCCGUAAACGAUGCGGACUAGGUGUUACAGCGGCCAAGAGCCUCUGUAGUGCCACAGUGAAGACGUUAAGUCCGCCACCUGGGGAGUACGGAUGCACGUCUGAAACUUAAAGGAAUUGACGGGGGCGCACCACCAGGAGUGAAGCCUGCGGUUUAUUGGAUUCACGCCG
rnacentral:rRNA from 1 species